UCCUAUUGCUCUAGGAACCAUACGGUUAUCAGCAUUUCUUAAUAUUUUACUGUUAGUACUUAAUACAAUUAGUCUUUUUUCAAUAACGUGUGUUUUGGUUCAGAUAUAAUAAAAUGAAUUCUGGUCAAAAUUCAGGUUAAUUUCUGAAAUCAUCUAUCUUUUCGCUAGCUGGCUUUUCUUCAUCUCUGCAGAAGUAGUUUGUGCAAUGUCAAAUGUUUUGGCAAUCAAAAUCUUAGUGCAACAGAAAUUCCUUUGGCACCAACCCACGCCUACUUAUUUCUACUAAAACUUCAUAGUACAUCACAAUGUGAAAUGAUCAUGUUAAUAGGGGGAAUGGAAUUGGAUAUAUACAUCAUGAUUUCAUUGAUUUAUUCAUUUAUAUGUUUAUCGAGAAACUACUAUAUACCCAGCACAAUGGCAUUCCAGGCAUCAGACAUACAGAAUCCUAGACAUUGGAAUUCCUGCCUUGAGAAAUGAUAUGAGGGAAAUAGGCAUUAAGACUACAAACACUUACUGAGAUUCUAUGCGUCAAGCAUUGGCUAAGUUCAAAGAGAACAGUGGUGAAUGAACAGAUUUUCCACCUUGAUGAUGAUUGCAGAUGAGCAGACAUGUAGACAAACACUGUUUGUCAGGGUAUUGUAACUGUUGGACAUAAACAGCGUGGUGGGAACUAGAGGAAACAACUUCCUGGGAGCAUUUGGAAAGAUGAUAUUUGUAAUUUGCUUUAUGCAGAAAAUAAUCUUCCUUGUUUAUUUUUUUCCAAAAGGUUUUCCUUUUCUAGUGUUAUCUUUGCUUAAAAUAAGACAUGCAUGUACUUAGAAUUUGCCAGAAGAGAAUCUUACCCAAGGAUUCUUAGUCACUGAGAUAUGAAUGACUUUUCCAAAGAGGUCUGUAGAGGUCUCACACUCUGACCCCAUCACCUAACAGUUCCAAGCCCUAAUUAUUGCCUCAGAUUUUUGGCCCUGCCUCAGGGUCUCUCAUUCUGCAGGACUAGAGUGUGGCCUGAGAAUUUUUAUUUCUAACAGGCUCCCAGAAGUUGCUGAUGCUGCCUGUCCAAGGCCCACACUUUAAUAAUAAGCAUGGUUUAGGGAAUUAAAUAUACCAACUGCUCAAGUUAAAGUCAUUAUUAAAGGACUGCAAGACAGAUGAUAUCUCUGAUUCAUAGGAGGAAUAACAAGGCAUACGUUAGUAAUAAAAUACAAAUUUAGAUAGGCAGGCAAAAUAAAAUAAUAAAUAUUUUAUAUCCUAAAUGCAAGAAUCUAUUAACUUGAAGUCAGAAAUCUGUUAUCACUGAUUAUCAGGAUUCAAAAUACUUAGAGGUUGAGAUGCUUUAUGGUUUAACUUGAAAUAACUCUUCUUUUCCUCUUCCAUAGACAGACGUUUUAGAAAUUUAGAUUUAAAAAAAAAAUUCUGACUACAUCCAAACGAGUAACAUAAUGUUAGAUUUUGUGGUGAGAACACAGUCCCAAGGAUGUGGGGGAAUUUGUUAUUUCUUGUGAAUGGGCCUCUUGGGAAACAAACUUCUAACACAGCAUCAAUGAGAGCAAACAAAAGGUACUAGGAUGGUGGUGACAAUACAGGAGGUCUGGGCAACAUGAGGGGGACAGAUGCCAACUAAGAGUCUUUAAAAAAAAAAUGAAAAGAGAGAAUCUAUAUUUUUAGAUUAAUCUGCCUGCAGUCUGAAAACUCAAUGUGCCUAAUAUCAAGAGGGCUACACUCCUAGGCUGUUAUUAAUAGAAACAUAACUACAUCAAGAAAAGUAUCUAUGCUGUAUUAUUUUCCUCCUGCUGCUAAGCUUUGUUACAGCAAAUCAUACUUUAUUGGCUUAAAACAACACAAAUUUAUUUCCUUACAGUUCUAGAGGUCAGAAGUCCAAAAUCAAGAUGUCAUCAAGGCUGCAUUCCUUCUAGAGGUUCCAGGGGGGAAUCAGUUUCCUUGCCUUUUCCAGUGUCUAAAGACCACUUGCAUUCCACGGCUUGUGGCCCUUCUUCCAUUUUCAAGGCCGGCAGCAUAGCAUCUUCAGCUGGGAGACAUCAAGCCAGCGUCUGGAGAAGGCAGAACAAGAAGACAGAAAGGAUCUGGAUCCUUGAUGAGGUGGACCAGCUGCUAAAUGAUCUGACCCUGGAAUCGUUAUAAACCCCAAAAUCAUCCCGCAUAUACAACUAGCAGUCUAGAACCCUGACAAUCCAGGCUGUCAUCAGAAAAUAACCAUGGGGGCUUCCCUGGUGGCGCAGUGGUUAAGAAUCCGCCUGCCAAUGCAGGGGCCAUGGGUUCGAGCUCUGGUCCGGGAAGAUCCCACAUGCCACGGAGCAACUAAGCCCAUGCACAACUACUGAAGCCUGCGCGCCUAGGACCCAUGCUCCAAAACAAAGAGAAGCCACCGCAAUGAGAAACCCACGCACCGCAACGAAGAGUUGCCCCCGCUCGCCGCAACUAGAGAAAGCCCGCGGGCAGCAACAAAGACCCAACGCAGCCAAAAAAUAAAAUAAAAUAAA